ACGUGGCUUUAGCUCAAGAACCAGGCAGCCAGUAGCAUCUUCCUAUGGGAUGAGUGGUUAAGUAGCGAAGAUAAACAGGAACAAAAAGGAUUAUGAACUCAUAUAUGAAUACGGUGGUUUUAUUCCAGUAGUUAUUGAAUACCUUGCCUGGGAAAUGGGUGUUUGUAUGGCUCUCAUGGACGACUCUAAGCCUCCUCUUCCCAAUACCGCAGAGGGUCUAUGGGUAAUUUUGUGGCACCAAGUAUUUAAUUAUGUGCUCUGCCAAGUGAAGGCAAGGUCUCCAAUUGAAUUUUAACCUCCCUGGACAACUUUUUUAGAUGCUUUGGUAGAACACAAAUGCAUAUUUUCUGCAUGCCAGAUUCCAGCCCCUUAAUUAUCAAAGAGUAGAUCUUCAACAAGUUCCACUGAAGGCUUUGAACAGGCAGGCAGACAGGAAGGCUGUGGAACUCCACAGCUUUUAUGCUUCAGUCUUCACUGGCAAUAUUCUUUGCACAUCCCUCAAACAGAAAGUGGGGACUGGAGAAGCAAUCUCCCUCCCACUGCAAGUGAAGGUCGAGUUCACAACCACCCGAGAAACCUGAACAUCCUAUGGGUCCCAAGAGAUGCAUCCUAGAGUGCAGAGGGAAUUGGCUGAUGCAGUGACCAAGCCAUUCACAAUUACAUUUGGAACAUCUUGGCAGUCAGGUGGUCUCUGGUGAAUGAGGAAAAGGCAAAGCUGUACCCAUCUUUAAGUGGAAUGGAAAGAAGGACCCAGGGAACUACCGGCCUAUCAGCCUCACCUCCAUGCUGGGGAAAUCAUGGAACAGGUCCUCCUGGAAGCUGUGCUAAGGUGAGUGGAAACAGGUGAUACCGGAGAACCAGGCUGGCUUUACCAAAGGCAUCUCCUGCCUGAUCAUUCUUGUUGGUUUUUAUGAUGACGUAGCUGUGUGAACAGGGGAACAGACACUGAUGUCAUCUAUCUGGACUUCAGUAAGGCCUUAGACAUGGUUCUCCAUAACAUUCUUCUCUCCAGAUUGGAAAAAUAUAGUUUUGAUAGGUGGACUGCUCAGUGGAUGAGGAACUGGUUAUGAGAUCGUACCCAGAGAGUGGUGGUCAAUGGCUCAAUGUCUGGAUGGAGAUCAGUGAUGAGUGGUGUCCCUCAGGGAUCUGUAGUGGGACUGCUGCUCUUAACAUCUUCAUCAAUGACACUGAUAGUGGGAUUAAGUCACCCUCAGUAAGUUCGCAGAUGACACCAAGCUGUGUGAUGUGGUCAACAUGCCUGAGGGACAGGAUGCCAUCCAGAGAGACCUAGACAGGCUUCAGCAGUGGGCUCAGGUGAACCUCAUGAUGUUCCACAAAGUCAAGUGCAAGGUCUUGCACAUGGAUCAUCACAACCCCUAAAAGUGGGAGAUAAAAGUCAAGGGAGGUGAUCCUGCCCCUCUGCUGUGUGCUGGUGAGACCUCACCUGAAGUACUGUGUCAAGGUGUGGAGUCCUCAGUACAGGAUCUGUUGGAGCAUGUCCAGAGGGGCACAAAAAUGAUGCAAGGGAUGGAAUACCUCCCCUGUGAGAAUAGGCUGAGAGAGCUGGAGCUGCUCCAUCUGGAGCAGAGAAGGCUCCUGGGAGAUCUGAGAGCCACCACCUUUCAGUAUCUAAAGGGAGUCUAUAGGAAAGAAGGAGACAGGGUCAUUAGCAGGGUCUGUUGUGAUAGGACAUGGGGAAAUGGUUUCAAACUAAAAGAGGGGAGAUUUAGAUUGCAUGUAAGUAGGAUGUUUUUUUACAAUAACAGUGGUGAGGCACUGGAACAGGUUGCCCAGAGAGGUGGUAGAAACCCCAUACCUGGAGACAUUCAAGGUCAGGCUGGAUGGGGAUCUGAGCAGCGUGAUGCAGCUGUCCCUUUUCAAUGCAGAGGAGUUGGAGUAUAGGUGACCUUCAAAUGUCCUUUCCAACUCAAACAAUGCCAUGGUUGUAUGAACAGCACUCAGUUAUGUUGUUGAGGUUGAAUCUUGACCUUAAAACCCUGGCAGGGACCCAGACAAAGAAAUCCAUGUGGGAAAUUGGAGAGGGAAUAAAGUAGCAUGUCUAUGCUUUUUGUAGAAGUAAACUGGUGACGAAGGCAUGAGUUGGGAUGGAAGCUCCUCAACAUGGUGGAGACUGUCCCCAGCUGCUGCUGCUGCUGGAAAUAGCUUGGGACUUGAUGAAAGGCAAUCCAAACAAGAGCUGGCUUGCAUGCGCAGGUCCUUCACGGUGUGGUGCCAACUUGUGAGGGAGUUCAUUUACCAGUGACAAGUUUUAGCCGUGGACACAUCCCGAUAAGUGGUGGUGGCCUGAAGCUACAGAGGAACGUGGCAGAAUCCUUAUGGAGCACAGUGCUGUGGGACAAGCUUCAUUUGCUGCCUACAAUUCUCCCCAGGAUGCGAGUGCUCCAGGAAGCCAGCUUUCAGUGUGAUGACUCCAAGAAUAAGGCAGGAGAUGCAAGAUCCAUCCGUGCAAGAAUUAACAUACCGAGCAGUUUUCUUUGCCGUGAUGACCUAUACUGGAAGCUGCCUUUUCUUUUUAAUCCUAUGGGUGUUCAAAGCUAUCAGAGGCAAGAAUCUGGUGCAAAAAGUCACAAACUGCUUGAUUUCUCACUGCCUUGGAGGGACCUGGCAGCACUCAGCCCAUCGAUACUAGAGAUGGACAGUGUGAUGACAACAGUGACAACUCAAAAAGAGGCUUUAAGGGAGCACUCUGUGUUGCUUGUGAAACAUAAGGCACCCAAAUGGGGUUAUUUAAUCAGCAGGUUGCAGCUCCAACAGUAAAAUAUGUGCACAUGUUAAGUACACAGACUGAAAACCUCUUCUGUUAGUUGGAAGCUUUUGUCUCUGGCUUCAGGAACAAGGAAGGCAGAUGGGAGAUUCCUCAUUGUCUCAGAAGGAGGGAAAGCAACAGCGCUGUACUCCCAAGAAGCCCAGAUCCAGGUACCAGGGCCCUGGGCCACAGGAGUCAAGCACAACAAGGAGCCCAGAGGCAUGCAAGGCCAAUUCAGAGAAGAUACGAGAAGGACUGAAACAAGCAGUUGGAUCAAUUUCUAACUGAACAGGAUCUGUGAAAGCUUGACCCCACUGUUAUCAUUCCCUGGUUGGAAAUAGGGGGCAGGAGAGGUUGUCCUAUGGGCAUGGCACACAGCAGUUUGCUUCUGCAUCCACCUGUGCCCUACAAGGCUGAGACAGAGUGCUUGCUGGGGAGCCAGAGGAGGUGGUAGUCCUGUGUGCUUCAGGCUUCCUCAUGGGCAUCGGGUGGGACUGACUGGAAAGGACUUGGCAGGGAAACGCGUCUCUCACAGCUAUAAUAGUAUUAGGCUGUGGGCCGGAUUAGGAUAAAUGGCUCCAAACUGGGUUGCAUAACAUAGAGCUAAAGUCUGCUGCUUCCAAAGCCGCUCCUACGGGUCUCACAUCACGGGAGUGUUUCAUCUGGGCCGCUUCUUUUCUGUUCCUGUAUUUCAAACAGUGGGCUGAGGUUACUCUCAUCUGAUGGGUGGAUGGAAGUGGGAAGGCUGGAUCCCUGCGUGGUUCCAGCUGCUUCUCAGAAAACUCUGGGUGAGCGUACCCUGAAACUAUGCAGAUGUACUCCAGAGCUGAGUCUCAGAGUGAUCUGAAAUGUUAGCAGCUGCCCAUAACCUGGAUGCUAUGAGCAGGAACGGGUGCAAACACAGCUCCAGGGGUGUGCAGCACGUAGAGGAAGUGGGUGGAGGGCUGUGGACAGGACCCUCUCAGACAGGGUGGUGAUAAAAUUGGGCACAUUGCUGGCAAUGUAGGCAGUGUCCACCAGUGCAGAUGGAGGUGGUAGUGGGACAGAUGCCUCCUCAGUACCCAUUACUUCCCACCUGCCUCUGAAUAUCACUUUCAAACUUUCUAAAUCCAGCGUCAUGCCUUUGUGAGAUAUAAAACUGACUUCUGCUCCUUUCCUGCUCCCCUGGCUACUGGACUUUGAGAGUUGAUGUUUCUGAUAAUGUAGGGUCUUCUUUUAAGAGGCUAUGAAAGAGCAGGGGAUACCAGGUGUGGCCUCAGCAGCUGUACUUAGAAGAAACCCACUCUGCCUGCAUCUGGAAAUGAUCUUCAUGAGCCUCACCUGGUGUUUAAAUGGCUUAUCUACAGACCAGAUUGUUGUCUGAGAGGGAACUUAGCAUAUAUGUAGAGUGUGGCCUUGCUGUACAAAGCAAAUCACUUGAAGUAUGUGUUCUGAAGUACGUGGUUCUUACCAACUGACAUAAAGAAAAGAGGCACAGCCUAACAGGAACAGUCCCUU